UGACCGAGCGACGCCGCGUGCGGGAUGAAGGCCUUCGGGUUGUAAACCGCUGUCGAAGGGGAUGAAAUUCCGGUGGGUUCUCUUGCCGGAUUGACAGAUCCUUGGAGGAAGGACGGGCUAAGUUCGUGCCAGCAGCCGCGGUAAUACGAACCGUCCAAACGUUAUUCGGAAUCACUGGGCUUACAGAGUUCGUAGGCGGCGGAGAAAGUAGGGUGUGAAAGCCCUCGGCUCAACCGAGGAAUAGCGCCCUAAACUACUUCGCUUGAGGAGGCUAGAGGUGAGCAGAACAGAUGGUGGAGCGGUGAAAUGCGUUGAUAUCAUCUGGAAUACCGGAGGCGAAGGCGGCUCACUGGGACCUUUCUGACGCUGAGGAACGAAAGCUAGGGUAGCGAACGGGAUUAGAUACCCCGGUAGUCCUAGCCGUAAACGAUGAGCACUAGACCGGAGCUCUGCACAGGGUUUCGGUCGUAGCGAAAGUGUUAAGUGCUCCGCCUGGGGAGUAUGGUCGCAAGGCUG
rnacentral:rRNA from 1 species